rnacentral:rRNA from 1 species
GGUACGAUGCGCCUGGUCCACGGUCGAAAGAUCGCGCGUAUCGGAGCGUAUCUGCCAUCCUUCUAGUUAACUGGAUACACUUAACUGUGUGGUCAGCGAUCUAGAUCUUUUACUUUGAAAAAAUUAGAGUGUUUAAAGCAGGCUCGCGCUGUGAAUACAUUAGCAUGGAAUAAUAAUUUAGGACUUUGCUCCUAUUUUAUUGGUUUCUAGGGGUAAAGUA